UGGGGAAUAUUGGACAAUGGGGGGAACCCUGAUCCAGCCAUGCCGCGUGUGUGAAGAAGGCCUUAUGGUUGUAAAGCACUUUAAGCGAGGAGGAGGGUACUGGUAUUAAUACUACCAGGUACUGGACGUUACUCGCAGAAUAAGCACCGGCUAACUCUGUGCCAGCAGCCGCGGUAAUACAGAGGGUGCGAGCGUUAAUCGGAUUUACUGGGCGUAAAGCGUGCGUAGGCGGCUAAUUGAGUCGGAUGUGAAAUCCCCGAGCUUAACUUGGGAAUUGCAUUCGAUACUGGUUAGCUAGAGUGUGAGAGAGGAUGGUAGAAUUCCAGGUGUAGCGGUGAAAUGCGUAGAGAUCUGGAGGAAUACCGAUGGCGAAGGCAGCCAUCUGGCCUAACACUGACGCUGAGGUACGAAAGCAUGGGGAGCAAACAGG
rnacentral:rRNA from 1 species